rnacentral:rRNA from 1 species
GAUGAACGCUAGCGAUAGGCUUAACACAUGCAAGUCGAGGGGCAGCAUGGUCUUAGCUUGCUAAGACUGAUGGCGACCGGCGCACGGGUGCGUAACGCGUAUGCAACUUGCCUCACAGAGGGGGAUAACCCGUCGAAAGACGGACUAAUACCGCGUACACUUGGGAUAGGGCAUCCUGACCCAAGGAAAUGAAAUUCGCUGUGAGAUAGGCAUGCGUCCCAUUAGCUAGUUGGUGAGGUAACGGCUCACCAAGGCGACGAUGGGUAGGGGAACUGAGAGGUUGAACCCCCACACUGGUACUGAGACACGGACCAGACUCCUACGGGAGGCAGCAGUGAGGAAUAUUGGUCAAUGGGCGAGAGCCCGAACCAGCCAAGUCGCGUGAAGGAUGACUGUCUUAUGGAUUGUAAACUUCUUUUAGACGGGAAUAACAAGAGCCACGUGUGGCUCCCUGCAUGUACCGUAUGAAUAAGCAUCGGCUAACUCCGUG